GAUGAACGCUAGCGGCAGGCCUAACACAUGCAAGUCGAGGGGCAGCAUAAAAAUAGCUUGCUAUUUUGGUGGCGACCGGCGCACGGGUGCGUAACGCGUAUGCAACCUACCCUGUACUGAGGGAUAGCCCGGAGAAAUUCGGAUUAAGACCUCAUGGUAUUAAUGAAUCGCAUGGUUUAUUAAUUAAAGGUUACGGUACAGGAUGGGCAUGCGUCCUAUUAGCUAGAUGGUAAGGUAACGGCUUACCAUG
rnacentral:rRNA from 1 species